UAUUUAAUUGUACUUUAUUUCAGGCCCCA
rnacentral:piRNA from 1 species